GGUGGCUCAGUGGUAGAGCGCUUGCCUAGCAUGCAUGAAGCCCUGGGUUCGAUUCCCCAGCACCA
rnacentral:tRNA from 1 species